GAUUGGGGAUCAUUAUUCAGCUAUCAUGUUAUUUUUAAAUAGGCUGGGGCGUUUGGGGUUAAACAUGUUUUCAUAGGUAAAUAAUAUUUAUUGCUGUCGAUUUUUUUUCAUGAGAGUGUAAUAGAGUAUUACUUUCUGUUUUGUUGAAUUGUGAAAUAGAAGUCACUACGUUCUUGCUCAAUCCUGUGUCGCUUUGAAGGUAUCAUGGUUGUCAUCCUCAGCCUAAGCAAUGUGUUACUGUAAUUUGAAUUUCAAAAUGACUGAGUGACGUUUUUUUGACGCACUGGUCAACUCCACCAUAGCGAAUCACAUGACUUUGACAUAAUCAGUAAAUACCAGCAAAAAAUAUCUUUAUAAGUAAAGAAUUGUCGCAUAAAAAUUAAAUACACGGGAGAUGGCAAAGUUCACGACGUCUAGUCUGAUUAAUCAUUUUAUAAAAAAAAAAAAAAAAAAUCCAAGCAAAGGGGGGGGGGGGGCGUACGCCCUCUACACCCCCCUCUGGAUCCGCCACUGUCAGCAAACAGUCUUGUAUUUAAUUCUGAAUAGAACAAAAUGUAAAAUAAGUGAAUAAGUUAUAGAUUAAAUAAUAAAUAAAUAAUUAAAUAUUCUUUAUUUAGUUUUUUCUUUAUUCUCACUUCUUCCAGAGACAUGUACGAAUGUACAUGUAUGUCUCUGAUUCUUCAUGGUCUUAUAUUAAGGAUUUGUAGAGUAUACAAAUCCUUGAUUAUAACAAAGGCAUAUAAUACUCAGUGUACCACUUCUGAACUUUUUUGUAAUUAUUUUCUCUACUUAAAUCCCCAUUCUUGAUUCCAGACCGGGUUCCGGACUAACUCUCAUAUACGUAAAUGAUCGUAAAUGUACGAAAGCUUGACACGUCGAAUACGAAAACCCGGAAAUAUUUUCUCCGUUGCCGUUUUUUAUACUAUGACGCAAAAUCCAUGGACGCUCGUCUGCUGUUGAAUUCAUGUUUUACAGUUUAACAAGGAUUUGUAUAGUGUCACUGUACAAAUCCUUGAGUUUAAAGAAUGGAAAGAUAUAUUAUAGUCAGAUAGAUAAUACAAAGAACUCUAGUUUUUCAAAACCGAUGGGUCAAAAAGUUAUUAGUAUGAACAGAUAAAUUGAAAUGGGUUGCUUGUCGAUUAACUGGAAGAAACCGGGGAACGAAAGAAAUUUGUGUUUCUCUUAACGGAUUACGUACCCAAUAUUUUGUACUUGGAAAGCGCAACGAAAGCUGACUCAAAAUCAUGCAUGAUGAUGCUGUUUGGGCCCCCUGGUUGUACAUAGGAAGUGGACUCCUCGAGAAGAUGAAAGGUCUGCUUUACAUCAUUUUCAAUGAAAGUACAAGUACUUUGAGAAAUAGGAGAAGCUAAGCAACAGAACAGAAUUCAUUUGGGUCAUUGAUGUCUAGAUUAUAUAGUGGAUUCAUAGAUUGUCAUAUUGAUUUAUGUGCAUAUGAGCACAGAGGAGCAGUAGUCAAUGAAUAAUUUUGUGAUGAGAGCUUGUUACCAAAUGAAAGGAAAGUACAGUAUUGACAAUGAUUGAUAUAACUGGUGAACAUGUAUGUCAUGUAGGUGUGAAUGUCCUGCAAAAAAGAACUGAUAUCAAAAUACCAUUCACAGUGAACAUGGUGAAGAAUAACCAAUACCAUGAAUACAGGACAUAGAAGACUACCUCACAAAUAUGGGAAUUUUACAAAAAAUACAACAUUUAAAUUUACAAAGAAGACAUUUAUUUUGACAUUCAUGGACUUUGAAAGUAAAGAAAUUAGAAUGUGAAUAAAAAUCCUUGGAAAUAAAAUUUUGAACUUUGAAGAA